CUCUGUUUGUCUUCGUCCUCUCAAACUACAGGAAAAAACCAACAAAAUUCACACUCUGGGAAGAUUUCAUCGAUCAUGAUGGGAACAAACUACUCAAACAGCUUAAAGAAUACCCAAUCAUCCUUGCUAGAAAAGUUGGUAGACCAAAGUCGUUGUCCGGUAAAACAACUCAAAUGCAUGCAAGAUGGACUAACAAAUUCAGUACAGAUUGACUAACAGAUUCAGUACAACAAUCGAAAUCAACCCUCCAUACCGGCAAGCAAAUGCGUUGAGAACAUGGGCCCAGCAAAAUGAGCAUAUGCUUAUUGCGUACACAGUAAAGAGCACAAGUCCAUCAGGCUCUCUUUUUUUGUUCCUUUCGAAGAAGAGAUAGUGCCAAUUGCAAAAAUUCAACGGCAAGAUCCAGCGAAAUAUUCUACAUACAAGCUAAAGUCGCACUACAAAAUAAGAACCAACGAUUCUGUAUCCUAGCUUGUUCAUACUGCAAACAACACUUCGCAUGAGCUAUUUUACGGAGAAAAUUCUACUGCACUAAUUGCCGUCAAUCUACCCAGUUGGUUCCCAGGUGCCAAUUUGAAGUGACGCUCACAGACCAGAGCGGUUCUACAACAGCGACUGUUGCCGAUAAGCAUGCAGAAAAAAUAUUGCUUCUCACUUCGGAAGAGAUUUAUGAUAUCUUUAAUGUCAAGAACGGAUUGCCGCCUCUUGUGAACGCGCAAAAGCUACUGAUUGGCAAGAUCUUCAAGAUUCAAAUAAAAAAGAUGUUUACAAGAAACAGUGAGGCAGUGCCAAGAAAGUUAGUUAUUUUGUCUUUCGUGGACAAAACUAAUUUGACCGUCUCACAAAUGCCAGCCACCAUCAAGGAUGUUGGGGAAGGAAGUAAACGGAAAAUUGAACAUGUUGCCACAGAGAAACAAGAGCAGCCACAGACAACAACCAAAGGCAAUGGUUCCUACAACAAAUAUAAGGCGGAAAUGAAAAUUUCCCCUCCGAAAAACUGCUGAGAGUUAAACUCACUUUUGCAACUGCUUUCUGGAUGUUCUUCUAUUCGGAAUACGUCGCUCGCGACAUGAGUUAAACCCACUUUUGCCCCUGCUUUCUGGAUAAUCUUAUACUUGGAAUAUGUCACAGCGACACGAGAUAUCAUUGUCCAAGAACUACUAGAAAAAGAAUCAGAAAGAAGACCAAAGACCGCAUAUGUAAAUAGUGGUAUCAUACAUGUUGUAAACGUUGUGGCACUUUAAGUAUCCCUUAAUGUGAUGCUCCCAUGGAGGCAAACAAUGUAUGUUUUGAUCAAAAUGUAUAUAAAUUAUG